rnacentral:sRNA from 2 species
GUUCUUAAAUCGCUGAAUCCAUUAGGAGCGGGGGACCCAAAUUUGCUGCAGACUGCAGCUCGGGGUGAAUCCUUUACAGGUAGGGCUACUCUCAUGGCCCGAAUCCGACAGCUAACUUCGCAAGCGUUCUUGAGAGAGGAU